rnacentral:rRNA from 1 species
CACGUAGGAGGCAAGCGUUAUCCGGAUUUACUGGGCGUAAAGCGCGUGCAGGCGGUUCAGAAAGUUGGAUGUGAAAGCUCCUGGCUUAACUGGGAGAGGUCGUUCAAUACUUCUGGACUAGAGUAUGGGAGAGGGAGGUGGAAUUCCGGGUGUAGUGGUGAAAUGCGUAGAUAUCCGGAGGAACACCAGUGGCGAAAGCGGCCUCCUGGCCCAAAACUGACGCUCAGACGCGAAAGCUAGGGUAGCAAACGGG